rnacentral:rRNA from 1 species
AGAGUUUGAUUAUGGCUCAGGAUGAACGCUGGCGGCGUGCUUAACACAUGCAAGUCGAGCGGAGGUUUAAAGCGGAAGUUUUCGGAUGGAAGCAAUAAACCUUAGCGGCGGACGGGUGAGUAACGCGUGGGUAACCUGCCUCAUACAGGGGGAUAACAGUUAGAAAUGACUGCUAAAACCGCAUAAGCGCACAUUGUCGAGUGACAGAGUGUGAAAAACUCCGGUGGUAUGAGAUGGACCCGCGUCUGAUUAGCUAGUUGGUGAGGUAACGGCCCACCAAGGCGACGAUCAGUAGCCGGCCUGAGAGGGCGACCGGCCACAUUGGGACUGAGACACGGCCCAAACUCCUACGGGAGGCAGCAGUGGGGAAUAUUGCACAAUGGGGGAAACCCUGAUGCAGCGACGCCGCGUGAGUGAAGAAGUAUUUCGGUAUGUAAAGCUCUAUCAGCAGGGAAGAAGAAAGACGGUACCUGACUAAGAAGCCCCGGCUAACUACGUGCCAGCAGCCGCGGUAAUACGUAGGGGGCAAGCGUUAUCCGGAUUUACUGGGUGUAAAGGGAGCGUANACGGCUGUGCAAGUCUGAAGUGAAAGCCCAGGGCUCAACCCUGGGACUGCUUUGGAAACUGUGGAGCUAGAGUGCUGGAGAAGUAAGUGGAAUUCCUAGUGUAGCGGUG